CCCUUAGAUGUUCUGGGCUGCACGCGCGCUACACUGAUGCACUCAACGAGUUUACGACCUUGCCCGAUAGGGUUGGGUAAUCUUUUUAAAAUGCAUCGUGAUGGGGAUAGAUUAUUGCAAUUAUUAAUCUUCAACGAGGAAUUCCUAGUAAGCGCGAGUCAUCAGCUCGUGCUGAUUACGUCCCUGCCCUUUGUACACACCGCCCGUCGCUCCUACCGAUUGAGUGCUCAGGUGAAUAAUUCGGACUGCAGCAAUGUUUGGAUCCCGAACGUUGCAGCGGAAAGUUUAGUGAACCUUAUCACUUAGAGGAAGGAGAANUCGUANCA
rnacentral:rRNA from 1 species